UUUCAUUUUUAGUGGCCGUUACUGACAGGUUUUACUGUAAUUGGUUUGGGGAAUUUUUAAACUGGCCGUUAGUACAGGUGGCCGGUGUUUGCAGGGGGCCGGUAACACAGGUUUUACUGUAGUUUAAAUCGAAAAGAUUAAAUCUUAAUUCAAAAUUGUAUAUAUACAAUUAUUACAAUUAUAAACUAUAUAUAGUUUAGUAUCCAAAACAUGUUUUUGAUUUUAUGUAAUGUAAUGAAAAUCUUAUUUGUAAAUUAUUGGUUACAACUGUUUAACAAUAGGAAAUAUUCAAGAAUAAAUAAAAUAAAAGUUUAAUCCUAACAACACAAAACAUUCCAGGAAUGUAGGUACUACCGUUCUAUUCCGUGAACAUCUAUCUGAUUAAAUUAUGGGUGGAAAGUUACCACAAGAUAUUCUAUGAACAUAGUACAAUGUCUUCCUGGAGGGGUAAAAUUUUCCAUUACAAGAUUUUAAGAGAGGCCAUUUACUAUUCAAUUUGCGUUCAUUUUCAAAUUUGCCGCGCGAGUAUCUAUGUAGUGUCACGUGGUCAUUGGCAUUCAUUGGUCAUCACAUUUCAUAUAUUUAUUUCAUUUUCAUGGGAUAACCGAUAACUUAAAAAUUUAGUAAAAAUUUUGAUUGGAAAAAAAUGCAUCGAUAACUGUCGAUAAGGGGGUGUGGGAAAUGGAAAUUAGUGGCUUUUUUGCUGUACUGUCUGCCAGUUUUUGCUCUGGGCUCUGGCUGGAUCUCUUGUUUAAACAAUUUUAAUCAGCUGAAAGUGGCCUACAAAAAAAAAACCAAGAAGGAAAUGUAUAGCCUUGUGGCUAUGAAAGGCAAACGAGAGAUAUAAAAAGUGUAUUGGCUAGUUGGAAGAAAGUCCACAUUGUCCAUGCAUAAUAAGUUAUUACUUUAUCAACAAAUAUCAAGAAGAUGCAGGGUCACGAGCAUCAACUUCAUAAGUUCAAGAAUAUCGAGGAAAUCCAGCUCCUCGAUACUACUGGGCAAACUAGAAGAUUGAAGAGGACAAAUCCUUUUGAACUAGUUUGAGUGAUAGGUGAUAGUGAAAAACGGAGCAUAGUGCUUGUGUGCUGUGCCUGUGUAUGUUAGAAUAAUAGUGCACGAUCUUGUUAGAUUAGAUAAGAGACGCUAUGGGGUAAGCUCUUCAUUUUAAGAAACAGUAGUAAUUUAGGUUAAAUUAAAAUUGCUCAUUGGUCAGUUAUGACCAGAUUGUUUUUUUAUGUUUGGCAAAAAGGACUUAAGUCAGAAUUGCACAUUGAUAAUGUUUUGAUGAUUUCUGGACCAGAAAAAAACUGUUGUAGAUGUAAACUGUAUGUACAGUAGAAUCUACUACAGUACUGUAGAAAUCAUCAAAACAUUAUCGAUGUGCAAUUCUGACUUAAGCCCUUUUUCCCAAACAUCAGAGAAUUGUAAUGUACAAUAAUUCUCCUAUCUGCUUUUUCAUGAAUUUUGUAGGAGACGAAAAACCAUUUUUAGGAUCGUCUGCUUUCACAUGUAAAUUUUGACAUGUUUUGUAGUAAAUAGAUAGUUGAAUUUACUACAAAACAUGUCAAAAAAUAUAUGAAAACAGGAGGUGACUAUAAAAAAAGUUUUUAGUCUCUCUUACAAAACUCAUGAAAAACAAAUCGGAGAUAUGUCACAUCGGUGACUAUAUCCAGGGAAUGUCUAAAAAAUAUACUUUGAUGUCCCAAGAACCAAAUAUAACCUACAGUCCAUCUAAUUUACUUACCGUUGCACGUCAUUAUCUACGCCAGAGAUCUAAGUUGACAUAGUUGCCAAAGUAUAAAAAGAUCCUGAAUCCAUUUUAAAUCAAAUUUAUCACAUAAUUAUUGUAAACGUGGAUUAUACAACAAAACAAA
rnacentral:lncRNA from 1 species